rnacentral:rRNA from 1 species
UACGGAGGGUGCAAGCGUUAUCCGGAUUUACUGGGUUUAAAGCGUGCGUAGGUGGUUCGUUAAGUCUGAUGUGAAAGCCCUGGGCUCAACCUGGGAAUGGCAUUGGAUACUGGCGACCUAGAGUGCGGUAGAGGGGUGUGGAAUUCCCGGUGUAGCAGUGAAAUGCGUAGAUAUCGGGAGGAACAUCUGUGGCGAAGGCGACACCCUGGACCAGCACUGACACUGAGGCACGAAAGCGUGGGGAGCAAACAGG